GUGCAGCGUCUUUCCUGCCAGCUGGUCCUCUGAGCUGGGCAGGUGGUUAGAAGAGGUGGUCCUCAUGGAGGACACCCCACGGGCACCUGGAGACAGAUGCUACCUCCUGGCUAGGGGCAAAAGGCAGAGGUGAAGGGGCUUGACGUCCUGAGGUUUGGAGGUAACUUUAAGCCAGGGUGCAGUCCUGGAGGGGAGGAACACUUCAGGCUGCGUCAGCAGAUCUGGAUUAUAAAUCAGUCCGACAGCAGCUUUUGUUCUGGGUUAAAACUUGGCAUCUGAAAAGUGGAGACCAGAAAAGUGGUGGAGAUAAUUGAGAAAAGCAGCCCAGUUUGGUUUCAGUAACAAUCGGGUCUUUGCUGGUACACAUAAUGGCCCCUUCUCCCUUGCUGGCCAAAGCCACGUUUCCCAGCUCUUUUCCACUAGGAAAAAGAAAAAAAGCUGUGGCCUUGGAGAUGCUGGAGAUAAUGACCAUGGGGUGGGCAGGGAAGGCCUCCUGCUUCAGCUGACAAGAUUUUUGCAGCUUGUCUUGAUGUACAUUUUCUUACUUCACCCUUAUGACCACCCUUUAAAAAGUAAGUAAUUUGGGAGGCUGAGAUGGGAGGAUCACUUGACCCCAGGAGUUCAAGACCAGCCAGGGC
rnacentral:lncRNA from 10 species